rnacentral:lncRNA from 1 species
GAAUUAUCCACAAUCCAACAAUGACCAUCGUUAAUUAGUCGACUGCCAAUGAAGACCACCGCUUUUCCAUAUGGUUUGCUUUUUUUUUUUCCCUUUUGUUUUGCAUUUUUCUUUCCUUUUCUUUAUUUUUUCAUUAAAUUUGUCACAAAUAGAAGAGGAUAAUGUUGCAAGGUUAUAUUCACGUUCAACACUAAGAGGAAAUAUUUGUUGUUGCUUUUGACAAUGAAGAGAUACUGG